rnacentral:rRNA from 1 species
UACGGAGGGUGCGAGCGUUGUCCGGAAUCACUGGGCGUAAAGAGCGCGUAGGCGGUCCGAUAAGUCGGCUGUGAAAGUCAGGGGCUCAACCCUUGGAAGCCGGCCGAUACUGUCGGACUAGAGUCCGGAAGAGGCGAGUGGAAUUCCCGGUGUAGCGGUGAAAUGCGCAGAUAUCGGGAGGAACACCAAUGGCGAAGGCAGCUCGCUGGGACGGUACUGACGCUGAGGCGCGAAAGCGUGGGGAGCAAACAGG